GUAUUCAUCGAAGGAAUGGGAUAGAAAACCAGCAGACUCCUUCACAUCAACUUCUGGGAUUUCAUCCUGGUCAAGAGGUUUCUUGUUCCCUAAAACAAACAAUGGGUUUAGCCAAGAGAAGGUAAUGAGCUGGAGAAGAGAAGCUUUUCCAUAUAAGGAUUCCAUUUUGCCUUCUGAAUGCUGUUCAGUUUUGCUGUGGACAAGUGGCUCAGUAAACCCAUUUGGCAUAACGGGAACUAUACCUGUCUUCCCUCGAAUUGAAAUUCCAAACAGGCAGGUGGAUGCAAGAAAACCAAGGAGGUCUGCAUAAUCCUGCAUCAUAAUGGUGCCUUGCUUCAUUAUAAUAUUUUGGGUAUCAAGGGCUGUCCUGAUAAGUGACAGCCAGAAGCUGCAAAACCACCAGGAUCUCAGAAUCCAAGGGAACUUGAUGUACUCUUCAUUUAGAAUUUUGUACAUAGCAAUCAAUGUAAUUGCCCAUGACAUAAUUUGCAUUAUCUCUGAUGAAAAAACUGAGACUUUGGAACUGCAUUGGGUCUCUCUUUGGUUUCCAUUUACCACCAUGAGUAGCAUUAGGAAAUGACACCCCAGUAGUAGAGUGGAGCAAACUAUGCAGGCUUUAGUGAUUUUAUGCUUCUUUUGAAGAAAUGGAAUAAUAAGAUUCCCAGGAACCCAAGGUGCACAACUAUGCUGAUGUUCUCCCACAAGCAAGAUGAGCUUAGCUGAAGCCAUGUUGUCUGGAAAUGAAGAAGCUGAUCUGCGACAUGUUUCAAAACUGUGAGGACAUGUCUUGAAGAGAUGAACUAAAUUUCAUUCUAGUGGUAUUCUAUCGGUUAUACUUGCAUUGUGUUUGAGUGCUUGGAAUUUGAAUCUUAAAUUUAAAUUUGUGUUGAAUUCAAUGAAACUCAAGUUUCGUCAAUAUAAUUUUGUAUUUAGUGUAGACCAAAUCUGUACAAUUUCAAAUCCAAGAUUUGAUAUAUUUGUUCCCAAACACAGGCUUAAUCUAUUUUCCGUUGUUGGGGGUUUUGGGUCCCCUACCUCUUUG